rnacentral:rRNA from 1 species
GCAGUCGAGCGGGGUUAGUAGUAGAAGCUUGCUUCUACACAACCUAGCGGCGGACGGGUGAGUAACACGUAGGCAACCUGCCCACAAGACAGGGAUAACUACCGGAAACGGUAGCUAAUACCCGAUACAUCCUUUUCCUGCAUGGGAGAAGGAGGAAAGACGGAGCAAUCUGUCACUUGUGGAUGGGCCUGCGGCGCAUUAGCUAGUUGGUGGGGUAAAGGCCUACCAAGGCGACGAUGCGUAGCCGACCUGAGAGGGUGAUCGGCCACACUGGGACUGAGACACGGCCCAGACUCCUACGGGAGGCAGCAGUAGGGAAUCUUCCGCAAUGGGCGAAAGCCUGACGGAGCAACGCCGCGUGAGUGAUGAAGGUUUUCGGAUCGUAAAGCUCUGUUGCCAGGGAAGAACGUCUUGUAGAGUAACUGCUACAAGAGUGACGGUACCUGAGAAGAAAGCCCCGGCUAACUACGUGCCAGCAGC